UGCCAGCAGCCGCGGUAAUACGAACUGUGCGAACGUUAUUCGGAAUCACUGGGCUUAAAGGGUGCGUAGGCGGCUACAAAGGUCAGAUGUGAAAUCCCACGGCUCAACCGUGGAACUGCGUCUGAAACCAUGUAGCUUGAGGAAGUCAGAGGUAAGCGGAACUGAUGGUGGAGCGGUGAAAUGCGUUGAUAUCAUCAGGAACACCGGUGGCGAAAGCGGCUUACUGGGACUUUUCUGACGCUGAGGCACGAAAGCUAGGGGAGCGAACGGGAUUAGAUA
rnacentral:rRNA from 1 species